CGGCGUCAGAAAUCCGUGCCACCACAAGCUCCUCGGCUCAGGGAUCGACGAGUCGAGAUCUGCUCCAUCUCUCUCUCUCGGCGUCCGAAAUCAGUCGUCUGCCGCACCAUCUCCGGCGAAGCACCGCCGCCUCGGCCUCGUCGCCUCCGCCAUCUCCUGCUUCGCCCCCGCCGCGAAGCGUCGCCGCUCCCGGCCUCGUUGCCUCCGCCAUCUCUCUCUCUCCCUCUCCCUUUCCUCCAUCGCCACAGCGCCCCACCCAAUCCCUACAGCCACCGUAGAACCCUCCACCACCGAGGCUAGCCAUGACAACCACCACCACGGAAACCCCCAAAACUCAGCCCCCUCACCACCACCACAGAAUCCCUCUCAAUCGCAGAGGCAAGCCGCCGCCGACGAAAGUCGCGCCGCCUAGGGUUUCAUUCCCUUAGAGCGGCGCCACCUCUGCUCACCUUCCGGCCAAACAAUGCGGCGCCAGCAUACAUCCCCAGCCACAACAACUUUCGGCGAGCCUCCUUCCCAGGCAAAAUCGCAGGUCAAAAAAAAGAAGAAGCGCGAACGCGGCGCCGCUGCUCUCUACCUCCACACGAUCUGCGGCGAGUUGAAUUUAAUUUGUGUUUGAUUUGGCAGAUUUGGGGACAAAGCUUAUUGAUGCUAAAAAGACCAUGUCUGCUGAUUGAUUGGGGAUUUGCGCAGUUGAUUUGUGCAUGUAUAUUGAUUGGGGAUUUGCGGCGAUGGCGCGACGCCGGCGAUGGUGUGGCAACUACGACAAGGAGAUGAGAUAGCUAGAGAGAUCUAGGGAAAGGCAGGCUGGGACGAGAGAGAGGCGAUGAUUGUGAUUUGUGAGAUACUGUAAUUGGGAGUAGCGAUUGCUGCCCAAAAUUGCCGGUAACAAAUUCUACAAAAAAAAAUUGGAUUAUCAAG
rnacentral:lncRNA from 1 species